rnacentral:lncRNA from 1 species
GAACCUGACCAUUUAUUUUGGGCAGAAAUACCGUAUUGCUUUGUAGUAUCUGAUAUGCUGGCUGGGUAGCACCCAACUGCUUAAUGCAGCCUCACACCAGAACACCAGCUGCUUCUUCCGCUCAGGAGCUAAAGCGUCCGAUUCAGAGAUUCAGACGUGUUUUUCCCAAUGACCCACGAAGCCCUGCAGCCGCGCUCACACCGCAGUCUGCUGCGAAGGCCACGCCUGGUCCCCCACCGAUGUUCGGCGGCUGCUAGCACGCAGAAAAGCAUCGCCCGGCAGCCAGCCCUCCUCCGCGCUGUCUGCAUCGGCAAUAACUUCCACGCCUGUGAAUGCAAAGUGGGAGCGGAAGGCCGGAGCCAGGCGAAAGGCGCUCAUGGCUGCCCUCGCCGCCGGGCCGGGUCACCUCUGGAGGCCCCACCGGCCCCCGCGGACACGAAAUGGCGCCUCGGCCCCGUGAGGCCUCCAGGCACCGGCCCCUCCGCGGCGCCGUCCACCGGCGGGGCAAGGCGAGCGGGCACGGCCCCGACGCCACCGCCACCGGGCCGGGCAGCGGAGCCUCGGCCCCCGCCCUGCCCCGGUAAGCCCACGGGAGCGCUGCGCAACACCGCCGCCCCGUGGCCGCUGCCGCCCGGCCGCCCUCCGCGGCCUCCUCGGCGGGGUAGGAGCCGCUGGCGCCUUCCCUCCCCACAGCCCCUUUUUUGCCGUUUUAUGCCCCCCAGUCGAAGGGGAACGCUGUCUGUCCUCCGGUUGGCGGAGGCGGUGGGAGCUCACAGGUGGUCUGAGGAAAGGAGGAGGGGGACAAGAGGACAGUGUAAAGGAGAGCAAGGAAGAGCAGAAAACUCGGAAUCCGGCAGUGACAUAGGGCACAGCAACGCCUUGUGCGUACCAGCCCAGCAGAAGCAGGGAUGUUGUCUUGCCACAUGAUUUGGCUGAGUGCAUCACCAGCAAGCUCCUUCGUAGGCUCUUUCCAAGAACUGGAGGCAAGGGGAAUCCACAACAUCGCAUUCAGUGUAAAUGGAAGGCACUGUUUUCUUUACAAGAAGUAAUCGACCUUUUUUUUUCCAGGUAAUCCUUUGUGUUUACAGUCUGUGGUGGAUGAUGCAUCAGCGGGCUGGUGGCAUCCUCAAUGACCUCUGAAAGCAGCAGAGUCUCAGAAACGGCAAAUGGGAAGAAAUUAUGAAGCUUUACCAAGAGACGGUGGAGUUCAGC